rnacentral:rRNA from 2 species
GACGCGUCAACCGGCCUGAGAGGGUGACCGNUCACACUGGGACUGAGACACGGCCCAGACUCUACGGGAGGCAGCAGUGGGGAAUAUUGCACAAUGGGCGNAAGCCUGAUGCAGCAACGCCGNGUGAGGGAUGAGACGCGCCUUCGGGUUGUAAACCUCUUUUAGCAGGGAAGAAGCGAAAGUGACGGUACCUGCAGAAAAAGCUA